UACAGAGGGUGCGAGCGUUAAUCGGAAUUACUGGGCGUAAAGCGCACGUAGUCGGCUUUGCAAGUCGGUUGUGAAAUCCCCGGGCUCAACCUGGGAACUGCAUCCGAGACUGCAUUGCUAGAGUAUGGGAGAGGAAAGCGGAAUUUCUGGUGUAGCAGUGAAAUGCGUAGAUAUCAGAAGGAACAUCAGUGGCGAAGGCGGCUUUCUGGACCAAUACUGACGAUCAGGGUGCGAAAAGCGUGGGGGAGCAAACAGG
rnacentral:rRNA from 1 species